AACAGGAUGUUUAAGUAGACCUAAACGCCUGUUUAUCGGUUAUAUGCAACAACUAAUGCAUAUAUAACUGGAAUACAAGAAGACAUUUUAUUUUGCCGUACAGAAGAAGAAGAUUAUGAAGACCUUGGUUAUAUUUCUGGCAUUGUUGAUUUGUUUCGGGGCGUCGCAAGCUUGGAGAAACUGUCCCAGGAUUCGGUGUGACAACUGCGCAUUUGCCGAGUCUAUGAGAAUGGCUGCCCAACCGAUCAAUGUGAGCGCAGACCCGAAUACAUGUGGCCUACGAUGAUGGCGAGCGAUGCCUCCAUGGUAGAGAUCUUCACGAUCCGAAAACUGCUGGUUCCUCUGGGACUCACAUUCCUCUUCGUUGGAUUCUUGCGCUGAUGACGUCAUCUUGAUCGCUCCAGUGACCAUGUUGCAAUGAACAGAGGGCACGCUUUUGUUUUUCGUCCAUGGUUGAUUUGGUUCGAUUAAAAAUCUGUUAAACCGUCUUGCAUUGUGCUUUCGAAUGGUAAUAAAGCAUUCAAAAGCC